GCAUAUGUUUUACAUUAUUAAAUUUAAAUGAAUAAUAUCUGAAACAAGAACUGACAUUUGCAUUUAAUUUAAUUCCGUAGAGACAUUUUCCCUAAACAAUAUGGAAAAUAGCCAAUAUUAGAGUCAAAAGAUAUUUGAACAGUGAGACAAUUUAGAUAAUAAACUGGUAAUGGUGAAGCAGCCGUUGGCAAAUACGUUGCUGGUAGCGUUGUUGGUGCUGGUGCCGAUGCUACACUGUUCGUGGCUAACCACGCUUAUUGAACGAAGCUCCUGCUAUGGAUUCACAAACGUUUGGAAGUUAAUUGUUUGGCAAUUUAUUAAUAUAUCAAUUAAGUAACACAUACAUACACUCUAGGUUAUUUUUUAUUUUGAUGGAGUCAAAAUGCAAUAGUAAUAAAAUAGACGAAGUUAAGAAAUAAACCAUACAACAUCUCGCGCAACACAUUAUAUGUUAUAGCUUAAAUGUUAAGAGUAAAAACAAAGUUAUAUUGAAUGUAGAGAGACAGUCAGUCAUUUAAUUUAUGUACCACCAUUAUAUUGUUUUUAUUAAAUCCUCAACAAUAAAUGAUGGAUGUAGGCAUAAUUUUAAAAAUUGUUGUACAAUAUCGUUAAAAAAAUAAAGUAUUGAUUUGGUAAAGAGAA